CUAAAUCCUAGAACUAUAUCACAGUUCUACUUAUAAGGUGCUCUAGAUGAUUGGCACAAAACUGUUAGUAAUGCAAGGAUGUGCUUGAUGCAAAUUUGGAAUAGGAUGGACCCUUUGGUACCAAAGUUUGCAUGAGAAUUGAAGCAAAAUAUGUUACCUACUAAAGAAAAUCUUUAGCAAACGGGAAUAUUGACAAAUGAGGAGAUUUGGUGUGUAGGGUGCAAAAGGAAAUGGG
rnacentral:lncRNA from 1 species